rnacentral:rRNA from 1 species
AGCGAGGGCAAUGUCAAAUUUAUUUGAACAUUGCCGAGCGGGAGUAUCUUCGGCGGGCCAAAGAUACGAAAAGUCGAGUGCAGAAGCAAGCGCCAGCCUGAUUGUGCCGAGACGGAGUAUCUAAGGCGCAAGCCCAAGAUAGAAAAACGGUACCGAAAAUUUACGGACGACCGGAAAUUUUUCGUUAUUUUUGUCCUCGCAUUCGAUUCUUAAAACAAAAAUUACGAUGAAAAAAGAGUGGAACGAUGUCCGGGAAUUUCACGAGAAAUUCGGUCAUCCCGUCGCCCCGCAGCCGCGUAUGAUGGAGCGCGGACGCGCCCUGAGCCGCGGGAAGUGGAUGAAUGAAGAGGUGGCCGAAUUUCUUGUAGCACAGGAUAUUUACGAACAGGCCGACGCUAUGAUCGAUCUGAUCUAUUUCGCGUUGGGUACGCUGGUGGAGAUGGGGCUCGAAGCCGACGAGUUGUUCGACAUCGUGCAGAAGGCCAACAUGGCCAAACUGUGGCCCGACGGCAAACCGCACGUAACAGCUCACUGGUCGAGUGGACAUGCGCCGACAAUACACGGGGCUAAGCUGGACACCGAAGCGGCGGGAUUUUAUCUAUAUAGAAUCGGUAGGGGAGCUUCCCAUGGGCGGCGAAGCCGCCGGGCGACCGGCGGUGGAGCGCAUGGGAGUGAGAAUGCUGGCAUGAGUAGCGAGAGACGAGAGAGUAACUCGUCCGCCGUGAACCCGAGGUUUCCUGGGCAAGGCUAAUCCUCCCAGGGUCAGUCGGGGGCUAAGGCGAGGCCGGGAGGCGUAGCCGACGCGCAGCAGGCAGACAUUCCUGCACCGCGCACGCGGCGCUACGACCGACGGGGCGACGGAUGGGGGUGGCUCGGCGGGGUUCUGGACGUCCCCGUGAUGGAGCGCGGCCCGCGGACCAGGGAAAUCCGGUCCGCACACAGGGCGAGGCUCCGGACGAAGCGAUCAAGCGAAGCGAGUGAGCCCGAGGUCCCUAGAAAAACCCCUAGGCAGGCGCGUGCGCGCCCGUACCGCAAACCGACACAGGUGGGUGGGUAGAACAUACCGAGGCGAUCGGGUCAACCAUGGUCAAGGAACUCGGCACAAUGGCCCCGUAACUUCGGGAGAAGGGGUGCCCGCGCGUACGUGAACCGGCUUGCCCGGGGAGCGGAGGCGGGCCGCAGUGGAGAGGCCCAAGCGACUGUUUACCAAAAACACAGGACUCUGCAGAAGCCGCAAGGCGACGUAUAGGGUCUGACGCCUGCCCGGUGCCGGAAGGUCACGCGGAGGAGUUAGCUUUCGAGCGAAGCCCCGAAGCCAAGCCCCGGUAAACGGCGGCCGUAACUAUAACGGUCCUAAGGUAGCGAAAUUCCUUGUCGGGUAAGUUCCGACCUGCACGAAAGGCGCAACGACUUGGGCGCUGUCUCGACCAUGGACCCGGUGAAAUUGCACUGGUCGUGAAGAUGCGACUUACCCGCGGAAGGACGGAAAGACCCCGUGAACCUUCACUGCAGCUUGGCAUUGGCCGCUGGUCCCGCGUGUAGAGGAUAGGCAGGAGGCACAGAUCCGGAGGCGCCAGCCCCCGGGGAGCCGCCCUUGGAAUACUGCCCUCGCGCGACCGGCGUCCUAACCCGAGGCCGUCAACCGGCUCGGGGACCGUGCCAGGCGGGCAGUUUGACUGGGGCGGUCGCCUCCUAAAGGGUAACGGAGGCGCGCGAAGGUCCGCUCGGGACGGUCGGCAACCGUCCUUUUGAAUGCAAGAGUACAAGCGGGCUUGACUGCGAGGCCCACAAGCCGAGCAGGUGCGAAAGCAGGCUCUAGUGAUCCGGCGGCCCCGAGUGGGUGGGCCGUCGCUCAACGGAUAAAAGGUACUCCGGGGAUAACAGGCUGAUCUUGCCCAAGAGUCCACAUCGACGGCAAGGUUUGGCACCUCGAUGUCGGCUCAUCGCAUCCUGGGGCUGGAGCAGGUCCCAAGGGUACGGCUGUUCGCCGUUUAAAGCGGUACGCGAGCUGGGUUCAGAACGUCGUGAGACAGUUCGGUCCCUAUCCUCCGUGGGCGCAGGAGAAUCGAUGGAGGCUGCCCCCAGUACGAGAGGACCGGGGUGGACGCACCUCCGGUGAACCGGUUGUCGACCAACGGCACGGCCGGGUAGCCGCGUGCGGCGCGGAUAACCGCUGAAGGCAUCUAAGCGGGAAGCCGUUCCAGGGAUUAGUUCUCCUUCCGGUAAGGGCCCAGGUAGACUACCUGGUCGAUAGACGGCAGGUGCAAGGACGGCGACGUCCUCAGCCGAGCCGCACUAAUCGCCCGAGCUCUUCCGGAA